GCCAGGGUGGUGUAGUGGUUUGAGUGCUGGACUACAACUCUGGAGACCAGGGUUUGAUUCCCAGCUCAACCU
rnacentral:tRNA from 1 species